CUGAGUCUAGUUUCAAAAGACAUAAUUAAUAAUAAACUUAUAACUAGCCUUAUUUAUUUAACAUGUUAAGAAACCUUUGCUUCAUUUUCUUGAACUCAACCACAACAUUCUUCCUAGCUUUUCUUUUUUGACGUAAUUCAGUUCAACAUUUCAAAAGAAAUUCCAUAAUCGAUGAAAUACAAUUUGCUUUAACAAUAAAUCUGCAUCCUCAAAGUCUAGUAGUCCUUCCAACAAUGAGCUUUGUAGGGCCCAACUUCUGCCCCGGGCCCAAAUAAUAAAAACCAAAAAUAAUCCAAAGUUAAACAGUCCAGUUACAUUAAACCCAAAUACAAGCCCAACUACCCAAACCCUAAGCCCAAACCUAAUAGCCCACAACAAACUUUCAAUAGCAGCAAAACGUGCAACACGCAACAAAAAGAAGCAACCAAAUCGCAAAACAACAAAAAACAGGCAUCAAAGAGUUGUUUAGAUCGGCUAUAAAGCCAAAAAUCAGAGACUUGUAGUUUUUCGGCUUCCUUUUUUAACACACAUCAGAAAUAAAAGAUCAUAUAAACUUCUAAAAGGUUGCUGUUCUUUCUUUGUUUUUCUUUUUAUUUCACUUAUUUUAUUUAUUUUUUUUACUGAUCCUUUUUUACAAAUAAAAAACGAUUAAUAAAAGAAAAACAAGAAAGGAAGAGAAGGGGAAUAGCUAGAAUCACCCGCAAGUCCCAUUGCCGGAGCCCUUUUGCGGCCACCGGAGUCGUGCUGGGAGGGUGCGGGGUCUCCUUUUCCUCUGGUCUUUGGGCCAAGAAAGGCACCGUCACCAAAAGGCCUUUUAAAUCGGUUUAAAAUAGACCUUCGGGUCGCAGGCCACCGCCCGCGGCGGAUCUAUGGCGGCGCGAGUGACGGCCAUGUUGGCCGAAUUUGGGGGGACCGAGAGAGAAACCUUACUCUCUCUGUUUUUUCUAGAAAAUUGAAGGAAAUGAUUUCUUUUUUAUUUUUUUUGUAUUUAUAUAUGCUAUAAUACGGCGUCGUUUUGGCCUUAGCAUCAGUGGCCAAAAACGGCGCCAUUUUGAUGUUUGACCCGCGACCCGACCCAGUAACGCUAAAGAUCCGCGCGUUUUCGUUUAAGGGUCUAUUUGUGCAAUAGGUCCCUCCACCUUUGUUGCGUGUUUCAAUGUGCUUUUUUUAUUUUUUUGAUUUUGGCCACCAGAUUUUUAUUCUGUUUUAAUUUGGUUCUGGGAUGCGCAGGCCCCAGUAUUGCGAACGGCCCCGUUCAGGUGGCAUGGGAUUAUUUCCCUUUCGACCCUACGUCUAUGUGCGCAUUUCGCUCAGGUCCUGAAUGUUCUUUUGUUUUUCAAAUUUUACCCUUUAAUUUUAUUUUAACUUCAAUUCGGUCCUUUAUCCUAUAUUUUAUUAUUUUGAAUGCUUACCUUGAAAUAUCAUUUAGUUUCCAAUUUAAUACAUAUAUCCCACAUGUUUUAUGAUCCAUAUAUAUUCAUACGUCUUUUAUAUUUUAUAAUUUUAAAAUUUGUACAUGCAUACGUAUAUUUUAUAAUUUCUAUAUGCGUAUAUAUAUAUCUACAUAUGUAUUUUUUAAAUUUUUUUUUACAAAUAUACACAUACUUAUACAUACUCUUUAUAUUUUAAAAUCUAUAUUUUUCUUAUGUAUUUUCCAUAGUUUAUAAUUCAUGUAUACAUAUUUUUAGAAAUUUUACAAUGCAUACAUGCACAUAAUAUAUAUAUAUGCGUUUUAUUUUUAUAAAUACAUAUACAUUACCUACCUUUAUAUUUUAUAUCUUCCAUGACUUUAUAUAUAUAUAUACAUGAAUGUACACAUACAUACUUACAUAUUUUUUACGUACAUAGAUUUUUCAUAUUUUCAUAAUUUUAUGCACACACAUAUAUAUCUUUUUACUUUUUCAUAAUUUUAUUUAUUAUUUAUUUAUUUCAUUUUUAUUAUUGAUUUGAGGAAAUGUUUUAAUUUUAUUUGCUUGUAUACAUUGUUAUUUCGGACGUUAUUGAUUUGUACUUUUUAUUUAUCUUAUAUUCGUUGCUAUUACUCGUAUUAUUUUUACAUCAUCGUAUUCAAUAUUGUUUUGUUACGAACAUUAACAUCGUGUUUUAUUUUUACUAUUUGGUGUUAGAUUAUUUUUAUUCAACACAUAAAUUAUGAUUUUUUGAAUAAGCAAAAUCUCGUGUUUAGAUUGGAGAAGGUUGUACCCUAACUUACUGGGUUUCGAUUUUCGCAAUGACUUUAAAUACGUGAAUCUUUUCAAACUCAAGUUUUAAAUGAUCUUGGGAUUUAAAAAAGAUCGUGUCCUAACUUACUGGGCAUGAAUCCUUUUUAAAAAAAAAUCUGAGAUAGCUAAAUAUCUUUUAAACAAGCAAAUUUUUAGCAUCCAUUCGCGUAUCGGGAAUUCGAGAUAUUGUGUCCUAACUUACUGGAUAUGAUUCUCUUUCUCGAUUAACGUGAAAUAUGCCCAUUUUCCCAAAAAUUUUCAACAUUUUAAUACAAGGAUCGUAUUUUUUAAAAUUCUUUAAAGUUUUCAAAUUUCGACCUCAAGACAUUAGCUAAUCAACUAGGUACCAAUUUUUGGGCGUUACGAGGGUGCUAAUCCUUCCUCGUACGUAACCGACUCCCGAACCCGUUUUUUGAAUUUUGUGGACCAAAAUUAUUGUUUUAAUAAAAUCUAAAUCGUUUAUUAAAAACAAUCAUUUUAUGAGGUGACCCGAUCACACCUCAUCAAAAAAAGGAUUGGUGGCGACUCCCAUUUUUGUUUUAUUUUUGAAAUUUAAGUCGACCCCGUUUUACCAAAAAAUGGUGUCAACAGCUUGGCGACUCCGCUGGGGAAGAGAUAUGUGAGUCAAGCCACGUGUUGAUUACUUUUUGUCUUUUUGUCGAAAAUCGAGAAUUUAAUUUAAAUUUACGAUCCGUUCAUUGCAUUUCAUUCGUCUUUAUUACGAUCUUCAUCAUUGUGGUUUUAUAGUUGUGUUGGUUUAAGUCUUGAUAUAUUUUUGCACAUUGCAUUGCAUGACCGUUGGUCACACCUUUUAAGUGGGAGUGAGAAGCUAUUUCCUUCGUGAGGUAUUCACCUCCGUGCAGGAUAGCUGAUCACUUUCGGGAUACAUCCGUACCUAUGUCUUUGUAAGAUUUUCAUCUCCGUGCAGCCAUAGGGAAAUGUAUUCCCCUGAACCGAACUCGGUCCGUAUGAGCCUAUAAUGGGUGAGGAUCGAGGAACCUACUGGUUUGGGUACCUUCGCUUUAGAGCCGAACCACAUGUAGUGAACCUAAGAGCCUACCUUAGGAAGAACCACUUCAAACCCCUAGUGGUCACCCGAGUAGGUGUUCUAUUUAUUCUUGCUUGCUUUUGCUUUGUACUAACCUGUUUUCUUUUGUUUUGAUUAUGAUUGCAUUGCAUUAUCAUCAUUAAAAAGAGGUGUUGAUUCACGUUCAGUUGCUAAAUAGAGAGCUUGUGAUAAAGUGGAUGACGAUACGAUUGUCCGAAUAUGGUCCAAGAAAACGUGAUAAGAAAAGGAUGAUAGUUUAAUGGAGGACUACAAGACUAUUGCUCCGUUGCCCAAGGAUUCAAGAUGACAAAGAUUAUUCGAGAGUCGCUGAACCUUCUUAAAAAGAAGCCAAUGAGCAUUACGAGGAUGAGUGAGCAACGAGUCGCGGCCUAGAUCAAGCAAAAAGGAGAUAGAAGAGACAUCUUUUUGAAGAGUUCGUGAAAUUUAUCUUAACGCUCAAAUGAAGAAAAGGAUCAAUUGUCUCCGCAUAUGAGGGCAAAGCCGUAUAUAUCCGUUACAGAGAUUUAUUUUCUAGUAAAGCUGUUCUAAUAGAGUUGAAUCAGAAUCAACAUCUCUUUUUGCAUUCAUUCCAUGCAUCUGUUUUACAUUUCAUUGCAUCAUUUGCAUUAAAUUUCACAAAAGAGCCCUACUUAAACGAGAUUAUUUCAGUUAAUCUGGAAACCAACAAGAAUCUACCAACCAAAUAUCACUAUGGUACCCGUCGCAAAACAAAAGUAAUGGAUUAGAGGUUAGAAAGAUUGGAACAAUUGCAAAAAAAGAUGCAAGAUCAGAUGCAGGAACGACUAGAUAAAAUCCAGCAAGACAUGCAAGAAUCCUAGAACACUAUGAUGAACAAAUUGGAGCAGUUAUUGGCUGGAAGGAAUGAUAAAGGAAAAAGCCCUUUAGUUGAUUCUGGAGUUGAUCAUGAGGACCCUAUUUAUCCUCCAGGUUUUACCCCAAUAGGCAUCCAGGCACAACCGGAUAUAUGCCCGCAAAGAGUACCUGUCAUUAUCAGACCUCAAUAUACGGUUGGUGCCUCAGUGCCAAUGCAUUUUCAAACGGGCUUGGGUUCUAAUCCCGGAGACAACCCUACCAAUCCUGUGGUCCCUAAUCUCGAUGACGUGGAAGAAAUAGAAAAAGCAAGAAUGGACCUGCCAAAACAACUUGACGACCGAUGUAGAUGGCUAGAGGAAAAAUUUAGAGCCAUGGAAAACACCGACUACCAUUGUGGAGUUGACGCCAAGGAUCUGAGUUUGGUCCCUGAUUUAGUGCUCCCGCCUAAGUUUAAGAUGCUGGAGUUCAAAAAAUACAACGGGACUAGUUGUCCUGAAGCUCAUAUCACUAUGUUCUGUUGAAGGAUAAUAGGAUACGUCAAUAAUGAUCAACUAUUAAUCCACUGUUUCCAGGAUAGUUUGAUCGUGUCUGCAGCCAAGUGGUACAACCAAUUGAGUCGUGCUAAAGUUAGUUCAUGAAGAGACUUGGCACAAGCUUUUAUGAAGCAAUACAGUCAUGUAACAGAUAUGACACCUGAUAGAAUUACGUUACAGAAUGUGGAAAAGAAGCAAAAUGAGAGCUUUAGGCAAUAUGCCCAAAGAUGGAGAGAGGUAGCGACACAAGUCCAGCCACCUCUUCUGGAGAAAGAAACCACAGUGCUUUUCAUUAACACUCUGAAAGCCCCAUUCAUUAACCACAUGUUGGGAAGCACUACUAUGAGCUUCUCAGAUAUGGUAAUGUCUGGCGAGAUGAUUGAAAACGCCAUAAGAAGUGGGAAGAUAGAUGCAAGGGAAGGUGCCAAAAGAUCAACCCCAAAGCACAAAGAAAAUGAAGUGAGCAACCUGAGCUUGUAUAAUAAAGGGUAUUCAAAAUUAGUCACUGUAGGCCAGCCAAGGACGGUAGCAGCUAGCUAUCAAGGCCCCUCAAAGUAAGAAUCCAACUCGAGGCCAAACACAGAAAGACUCGAGUUCACACCUAUCCCGGUGAUGUAUAAGGAGUUAUAUCAAAAUCUGUUUGAUGCGCAUGUAGUAGCUCCGUUCUACUCAAAACCCAUGCAACCUCCAUACCCCAAAUGGUACGACGUAAAUGCUCAAUACGAGUAUCACGUAUGAACUACGGGGCACUCGAUUAAAAACUACACUACAUUUAAAAAGUUAGUCGAAUGGUUCAUUAAUAUGGGCAUCGUGAAGUUUGACGAUCCAUCUGGACCUAAUGUGGCAGGAAGUCCGUUACCCAGUCAUCCAGACCCAGGAGUAAAUGCGAUAGCUGAGAAUGGAGGAAAAAAAACCAAAACAAAUGUUGCAGAAGUAAAACCCCCACUAAAAUGGGUUUUGAAACAAAUGAUGGACAUGGGAUUAAUCAUUCAGAAUUUGGAGAAGAGACCAAAAUGGAUGAGGAGCUACUGUGAGUUUCACGCUAAAGAAGGCCAUGAAAUCCAGGAGUGCACUGAAUUCAAAGCUUUGGUGCAAAGUAUAAUGGAUAAUAAAGAGUUGGAAUUCUUUGAAAAAGUCAAAGGCCUAGAAGAAAUGUUGGGAAAUUUAAAUGUUAACGAUGUAUCCGAAGAGGGAACUGAGGAAGAUAAUUUAUGAGGCAUCGGCCCUUAACGCAUUUGGGAGUGUUUUGAACAAUGAGAUUGUGGAAGAGAUCCCUAUAUUUUUUUAGAUCUAUUUCAAAGUAAUGUCCAAAACACGCUUAUUGCUCUAAGCCUAGGAGCAAUAAGAAUCCUUUUGUGAGAUAGACUUAUGUUCAAUAUCUUUAUUUUAAUAAAAUGCAUCUUUGUUUCUCACUUCGAGCAAAUAUUCCUUUAUUAUUUCCAUUUCAUUCAUAAUCAUACUGUACAGAUAAAUAUUCUUAGAUUCUUUUUAUUCUUUGGAUUUGCUUUCGUCCCUACAAUAGGUCUCCAGAUAUCAAAGAUAUGAGUGACACUACUACUGACUCAGAAUCUCCUUUGAGCAAGAUAUGUGUCCAGAUGAGCCUCAGGACUUUGAAGAUAACUGAGACUGUAACUUAUCCCCUGAUUUGUUAAUGAUGGUAGAACAAGAUCCUACCUUACAAAUAAUCAAUGGAAGUCUUGACCUUUCUCUAUGUGGGGUACGGAUGUCAUUGAACCAAUCUCGUCUAAGGUUUUGGCGAUCAUCAAUUCAUCUUUAUGGUCGUUAAUUACCUCACUAAGUGGGUAGAAGCUGCUUCAUAUGCCAAUGUCACAAAAAUGACGGUCAGUAAAUUCGUAAAAAAAGAAAUCAUAUGUUGGUAUGGGAUGCCGAAAAGGAUCAUAUCUGAUGAUGCACCAAAUUUGAAUGAUAGCACGAUAUCAGAAGUUUGCAGUCUGUUCAAGAUUAACACCAUGUCGCCCAAAAUGAAUGAUUCAGUGGAGGAAAAAAAAAGGAAACCAAACAAAAAACAAAACAAAAAAAACAAAAAACAAAAAUAAAAAAACAAAAAAUAAAAAACCUCUACCGGGGUAACUUAUUUCUCAUUGGUAUAUAGAAUAGAGGCAAUUUUACCCAUCGAAGUUGAUAUUCCUUCCCUUCAAGUCUUGUUAGAGCUGAAGUUGGAUGAAGCAGAAUAGAUCUAGGCCUGAUAUCAUCAGUUAGAUUUGAUUGAUAAGAAAAGGUUAAAAGUUAUCUGUCAUGGUCAAUUGUACCAAAAGCGAAUGAUGCGAGUUCACUAAAAGGUUCGCCCAGAGAAUUCCAUGAGGAGGACUUGAUAUCGAAGAAGAUCCUUCUCAAACAAAAGGACUUAAGAAGAAAGUGAAUGCCAAAAUGGAAAGGACCUUAUGUGGAAGGCCUUAUUUGAAAAAGCGUUGAUAUUGACCAAGAUAGAUGGUAAGAACCUGCCCAAUCUUGAGAAUUCUGAUUCCAGCAAUAAAUACUUCACUUGAAAAAAGAAACGAAAAGAAAAAAGAAAAGAAGAAGAAUGAAAAAAGAAAAAGGAAAGGCCAAGGUGAAAACCCGCAAAGGGCGCCUUGAGACCAAAGAGGUUUUGAAUUGAAAACCCAGGAAUGGGCAGUUCAAAUUUUGAUCAAAGGUGGGGCAUGCAGUAGUCUUGUCGUCUCUGAAUUAAUAAGAAGGAGAGAUGCUACAUCUUGGGGGCAUCAAUGAAGUCUUCUAGGACUUCUAAACACAUAUCAAGUUCAAAAGGGUCCUCAAGAAGUUUGGGGCAGAGAAGCUCAUGCCACGAUAUCUGGGGCACCUCUUUUCAUUUAUUCUUUUUGUAUUUGUGACAAAAUACGCCAUCUUGAUUAAUUUAUUCUCAUUUUGUAUUCUAGCAAAAUUUGCUAUCUUGAUUAAUUUAUUCAUUCAGAGCUUUGCUCUCAAUAAUUUUUCAUCUUAUCCAUUGUGAUAAUCCUUUCAUCUUAUUCAUCUCAUAUCUUAGCAAAAUUUGCUAUCUUGAUUGAUUCAUUCAUUUCAAGCUUUGCUCUCGACAAAAUUUUAUCUGGUCCAUUUUGAUAAUCUUUUUCAAGCAUUUUUCUUUGAAAUAACGAUUAUUGGACUGAUAAUGUUCAAGCAAAAGAAGUUUUGCAUAUUACUCUGAAAGCUUCUAAAUAGUACGAGGACCUAAAGCAGGGCUAUUGUUUAGAACUAACCAACUUAAGGGUUAGAAGCAUUGGAGAAAGAAUAAUCUAAAUUGCGACUAUUUCUUUGGUUUUUCUAUCAAAGAUACCACUGAAUAAGAAAGCAUCGGUGAUAAAACCUUGAUGAACAAUAAAGAAUGACAAUCUAAGCAUUAAAAAUGGAUCAUUCUCAUGACAUUCUACAAAUAUCAUACAUACACAUCUAGUUAGGAGCAUUUUAUUCAUUCUAAUCAUGACAUCCUAAAUGCUAGGCAUAAAUAGGUAUAUAAAAUGGAUUUUACAGGUCAUGUUCCCCAAGGAACAGAUCAAUGAAGUUACCCAUACCCCUGAAGUUGCAGUGGGAUGGAUUGAAGUCAUCAUAUCCAACAUUAUCUCCCUGAGCAACAGUGGAGAAGGUUGAAGAAAGCAAGUCUUGUCUUCCUGUAUUGGCAGCGAAGUAGACUGAAGAUAGCAGAUCUUGUCUUAUUGUAUUGGCAGCGAAGUAGACUGAAGAUAGCAGAUCUUAUCUUCCUGUAUUAGCAGCAAAAUGGAUCAAAGAUAGCAGAUCUUGUCUUUCUGUAUUGGCAGUAAAGUGGAUCAAAGAUAGUAGAUCUUGUCUUCCUGUAUUGGCAGCGAAGUAGAUCGAAGAUAGCAGAUAUUAUCUCCUUGAGCAGCAGUGGAGUAGAUCGAAGAUAGCAAGUCUUGUCUUCCUAUAUUGGCAGCGAAGUAGACUGAAGAUAGCAGAUCUUGUCUUCCUGUAUUGGCAGCGAAGUAGACUGAAGAUAGUAGAUCUUGUCUUCCUGUAUUGGUAGCGAAGUAGAUCGAAAAAAGUAGAUCUUGUCUCCCUGAGUAGCAGUGGAGUAGAUCGAGGAUAGCAAGUCUUGUCUUCCUGUAUUGGCAGCAAAGUAGAUUGAGGAUAGCAGAUCUUGUCUUCCUGUAUUGGCAGCAAAGUAGACUGAAGAUAGUAGAUCUUGUCUUCCUGUAUUGGCAGCGAAGUAGAUCAAAGAUAGCAGAUCUUGUCUCCCUAAGCAGCAGUGAAGUAGAUCGAAGAUAGCAAGUCUUGUCUUCCUAUAUUGACAACGAAGUAGACUGAAGAUAGCAAGUCUUGUCUUCCUGUAGUGGCAGUAAAGUAGACUGAAGAUAGGAAGUCUUGUCUUCCUGUAUUGGCAGCGAAGUAGACUAAGGAUAGCAGAUCUUAUCUUCCUGUAUUUGGCAGCAAAGUAGAUCGAAGAUAGCAAGUCUUAUCUUCCUGUAUUGACAGUGAAAUAGACUGAGGAUAGUAGAUCUUAUCUUCCUGUAUUGGCAGCGAAGUAGAUCGGAGAUAGCAAGUCUUAUCUCCCUAAGCAGUAGCAGAGCAGACAGAUGAAACCAAUCCUAUCUCUCUGAAGUUGCAGUGGAGCAGAUUAAAAUGAUGAAUCAUAUGCCUCUGAAAUUACAGUAGGUCGAAUUAGAUCAUAUCACAUCAAACCUUAUCUCCCUGAAGUUACAGUGGAGCAGACUAAAACCACGAAUCUCAUCCCCACGGAUUUACAACAGAGUAGAUUGAAGUCAUAUCUCUCUGAGGAUGCCGUGAAGAGGAUCAAAGUCAUAAGGCGCAGUGGGCUAGAAAGAGACUACUUGAAGAAGAGGAGUAUCAAGAGAUCAAGAUUCGUGCGACCAUUGAACGUAAAAUCAAAAUGCUUAAAGUGUAUGGAGAUUCCGCGUUGGUGAUAUACCAACUCAAAGGAGAGUGGGAAACCAAAGACCCUAAAUUGAUCAAUUAUAAAGAACUGGUUCUUGAAUUGAUUUACGAGUUUGAUGACAUCACCUUCAGUUAUCUCCCAUGAAAGGAAAACCAAAUGACUGAUGCAUUGGCUACUCUAGCUUCGAUGAUUCAGGUGAACAGGCUUGAAGUAAUGAAGCCUAUUCAGAUGAGUAUCUACAAAACCCCAGCUCAUUGCUACAAUAUUAAGGGGAAGGGAAAAGACAAUCACCCUUGGUAUCGGAGUAUCCUACAGUAUGUGAAGAAUCGGGAGUACCCUAGCCAGGCAACAGAGAACGACAAGAGAACUCUGAAAAGAAUAGCCAUCGAAUAUAUCUUAGAUGGGGAAGUGUUAUACAAAAGAAGGAAAGAUCAGGUAUUGUUAAGAUGUGUAGAUGCCGUAGAAGCUAAGAAAAUUUUGGAGGAAGUCCAUGAGGGUAUCUGUGAGACGCACGUCAAUGGCUUCACCAUGGCCAGAUAGAUCAUGAGAUUUGGGUACUAUUGGUCCACUAUGGAAGGGGAUUGCAUUAAUUACGCCAAGAAAUGCCAUAAAUGUCAAAUUUAUGGAGACAAGAUGCAUCCCCCCUUCGCUACUUCAUGUUAUGACCUCUCCAUGGCCAUUUUCCAUAUGGGGUAUGGAUGUCAUUGGGCCGAUAUCGCCAAAGGCUUCUAACGGGCAUCGUUUCAUCUUCAUAGUCAUUGAUUACUUCACUAAGUGGGUAGAAGUUGCUUCUUAUGCAAAUGUCACGAAGUCAGCAGUUAGUAAAUUCUUGAAAAAUGAGAUUAUUUGUCGAUAUGGAAUGCCUGAGAGAAUCAUAUCCAACAAUGCGCUGAAUUUGAACAAUAGCACAAUAGCAGAGGUUUGCAGCCAAUUUAAGAUCAAGCAUCAUAACUCAUCGCCGUAUCGUCCAAAAAUGAAUGGUGCAGUAGAGGCGACCAAUAAGAAUAUUAAAAGAAUUGUGGGGAAAAUGACUGAGACUUACAAAGAUUGGCAUGAGAAGUUAUCAUUUGCUCUCCUUGCCUAUCGAACAUCUGUUAGAACUUCUACUAGGGCAACACCUUUUUCUCUAGUUUACGGAAUGGAGGCAAUAUUACCCAUCGAAGUUGAAAUCCUCUCUCUACGGGUAUUAUCCGAACUCUAGUUGGACGAGGCUGAAUGGGUCCAAUCUCGUUAUGAUCAGUUGAACCUAAUAGAGGAGAAGAGAUUAAAAGCUAUUUAUCAUAGGCAAAUGUACCAGAAACGAAUGAUGUGAGCCUAUGAUAAAAAGGUUCACCCCAGAGAAUUUAGUGAAGGAGAUUUGGUGCUAAAAAAGAUUCUUCCUAUGCAAAAGGACUUUAGAGGAAAAUGGAUGCCAAAUUGGGAGGGUCUUUAUGUCGUAAAGAAGGCCUUUGAUGGUGGAGCUUUGAUUCUAAGUGAGAUAACUGGAAAAGACUUGCCCAAUCCCGUAAAUUCAGACUCAGUCAAGAAAUACUUCACUUGAAGAAAAGGGACCAAAGUGAAAACCCGCAAAGGGCGCUUUGAUCCCUAAAAAAAAAGAAAUGAUGAUGAUAAAAAUGGAGAGGCUAAGGGGAAAACCCGCAAAGGGCACCUUAGGCCAAAGGGGAUUUGAGUUGAAAACCCGAAAAGGGCGGCUCAAAUGUUUGAUCAGAAUGGGACAUGAAAUGCUUAGAGCAGCUGGUAUCUUGAUCAGAUCGGGAUGUGUGGCAAUCUUGCUAUGCCUGAAUUAACAAGAAGGGAUAGGCGAUAUCUUGGGGCAUUGACAAAGCAUUGAAGAUCUCCUAAACACAUGUCAAACUCAGGAUGGCCUUUAGAAAGUUUGUACAGAGAAAUUCAAGCUGCGAUAUCUGGGGGAUUUAAUUCCCCUAUUAUUUUGUAUAUAUUGAAUUUUGUUGAUUCUUGGAAUAUUUUCUUUCUCUUUUCCAAGAUAUAUAUUCCCAAUCAAUUUCUCUACUAUUUGUGAUGACUUAUUUAUUUUUAGCUAUGUUCAGAACCAAAUUUAUUCUUAUAUAUUGUUAUGACCUUUUCUGCAAACAUGUUACAUUAGAAUAAUGAUUAAUGGACUAAUAAAACUUUCACAAAAGAAGUUUUGCAUAUUACUCUGAAAAGUUCCUAAAUAAUACAGGAGCCUAAAACAAGACUAUUGUUUAGAACACACCCAAUUUUAAAGAUUGGAAAUUUGAGAAGGAGUUUAAAUUUGGACUUUCUCUUUGGAUUUUGUUGUCAAAUGCAUUGAUUGGCAAGAUGCCAUGUUGAUGACGAAGCUUAAGUAAACAAGCAAACAAUGAUCACCAGGCAAGAGGAAGAGGUUACUUUGAAAAAGCCUUCAUCUACACAUAAGUUUCUAGUAUGACACCUUCAAAAUUGUGUGAGAAACCAGAACGAUUCAGAUCCUAUAUCCUUGAAUUGUGGGGAUUGAGGAAAAGCCACAUAUUUCUACCCUUGGAUUACAAUGGGAAAGUGGUGGUACAAUUUUUUUGCGCCCCAAUGGUUUAAACUUUAAGGUUCACAGUGGGGGCAAUCUGACUAAGUGAUUCUUUGAAGAAGCCGGUCAAGCGAGGAGGCGUUACAGCACAUCAGUGUUAAAGCCUUAAUAAAUUUCGAGUAAUAAUAACCUAAGCGGGAUCAUUCUCAAAAAAUAAAAUUCUGCAUUCAUGCAAACACUAUCCACACAUGUCUAUUUAGGAGCAUUCGAUUCAUUUUGAUCAUGCCAUCCUAAUCAUUAGGCAUAAUUAGGUUCAUUAUACAGGUCAUGUUCCCCAGAGAAUAGAUCAAUAAAGAUCGAAAACAAAGCCUUGCCUCCAUCGGUUGCAGUGGAGCGGAUUAAAAUAAAGGAUCUUAUCUCUCUGAAGUUACAGUAGAGUAGAUCGCAUCAGAUUGAAGCCAAAAAUCUUAUCUCCCUAAGAUUACAGCGGAGCAGAUUGAAGCUAGAAAUUCUAUCUCCCUGAGAUUACAGUGGAGCGGAUUAAAAUAAAGGAUCUUAUCUCUCUGAAGUUAUAGUAGAGUAGAUCGCAUCAGAUUGAAGCCAGAAAUCUUAUCUCCCUGAGAUUACAGUGGAGCAGAUUGAAGCUAGAAAUCCUAUCUCCCUGAGAUUACAGUGGAGCAGAUUAAAAUAAAGGAUCUUAUCUCUCUGAAGUUAUAGUAGAGUAGAUCGCAUUAGAUUGAAGCCAGAAAUCUUAUCUCCCUGAGAUUACAGUGGAGCAGAUUGAAGCUAGUAAUCCUAUCUCCAUGAGAUUACAGUGGAGCGGAUUAAAACAAAGGAUCUUAUCUCUUUGAAGUUACAGCGGAGUAGAUCGCAUCAGAAUGAAGCUACAACAGCAAAUCUCACUACCCCGACCUCACAAUUAAGCAGAUUAAGGUUACGAGUUACAAAUCCUAUCUCCCUGAUGUUACAGUGGAGUGGAUCGAAGCACCAAUUCCUAUACCUCUGAAGAUGUAGUAGGUUGAAAUGAGUCAACUCGAAGAAGAAGAGCACCAAGGUCCAAACACGACUGGGCAAAAAGGGGCUUUAGUCUUUGCACCGUUCCCGUUACACGACAACAAGCAAAGAGGGGUAGCUGUAAUAGCCCAUUUUUGCCCGGGCCCGUAAUAAGUAAACCAAAAUUAAAAAUUAAAAAUUAAAGUCCAAAAAAUAAUAAUAGAGUCCAUUUUUUACAAUAGGCCUAAUAGCCCAAAUCCACUACCCAAACCUAAUUAGCCCAAAUCCACUACUUAAACCCAACUAGCCCAAAUGCCCAUGACCGAACACUAAAUCUGAUUAGCCCAAUUACAGUGGCCCGACACCUAACCCAAAACCCGAUUCAGCCCAAUUAGCCCAUUUUGAAAAAGCAUUCCAGAAAUCACUAGGGUUUCUAGAACCCUUCAGCCGCCAUUGCCACGCACGGGCUCCCCUUCGAGCCACUCCUCACGCGCGUGAUGCCUUCGUACGCCACGCAUGCCUCCGUACGGCCACCUCUGUACCUCUAGGCUGGCCGAGUACCUGCAAAUACAAGCGAACACACGGAAGCAGCAACAAAUAGAAAAACAACAGCAUUUUUAUUUUAUUUUUUUAUUUUCUGUAAAUGGGGCUAUAAAGAAGCCAUUCGAACACUGUAAACGAUUUACACGCAUUUUCAGAAUACAGAAAUCAAAAAAAGUUCCAAAAGGUGAUUUUCGGUUCUCUUUUCUUUUUCGCAGAUCGUUUUCCUUCUUUCCUUUUGUUUUUACAUACAUUAGUCAUCUGUUAAAGGAGAAAAGGGGAACCAAAAGGGAAGAGGGGCAUACCUGAGGGCCGGAUUUUUGCUCACUCCGCAGCCAUCGGAGUUGGGGCGAAUAUUGGGAGUCUUUGGAGGCAAUGAAUCCCCAGAGCGGCGACGAGCCUUUCUUUUUGUUUAGGUUUUGCUAAUGUAAACCCUAGGUUUUAGGAUUUAUUUAGUUUUUAAGUGCAUGAAUUAAAACGACGCCGUUCAGAGUCAAUGCAAUGGCACUGAAAUGACAUUGUUUUGGAGACUCAACCCAAACGAUGACCCGAUCCGGGAAGGAUCCGCACAAUAUGGGUCGAAUGGUUUAUUUGCUAAAUAGG
rnacentral:lncRNA from 1 species